GACGUCACCGGCGUGCCCGACGCCGCACGCGCGGGGAGGGCAGGGAGGGCAGCGGGGUCGCCGCCUGCCUCGCCCACCGACGCGCGGGGGAGGGGGGAAACCGAGCCCGGCGGGGGCGGCAGCGCCGAAAGGAAGGCGGGAAGCGGCGCCUCGGCAAGCUUCUUCCCGAAGAUGACACCAGUUACUCGACAAGAAGUUCUUGGCCUUUACCGCAAGAUAUUCAGAAUAGCCAAAAAAUGGCAAUCGGCAUCAGGACAGAUAGAAGAAACUUUUAAAGAGAAAGAGUAUAUUAAAAAUGAAGCCAAAACAUUAUUCCGAAAAAACAAAAAUGUAACAGAUCCAAAGUUGAUUAAGCAGUGUAUAGAAGAAUGUGAGGCAAGAAUAGAAAUGGGACUUCACUAUAACAUCCCCUACCCGAGACCUAUCCAUCUGCCUCCUAUGGGUCUUGCUCAUAAACAAAGCCGUACGUUGCGACACCAGGAAAAGUUAAGGAAGAUUUCUAAGCCAAUAUACCUGAAAUCCCAUGAUGAAGUUUCAUAACCUGUCAUUUAAGCUGUGAUGUGUAAUCACAUAAUUUAAGCUGUGGACUGCAAUUCAGCUUUCAACUACCAAGUCCUUAGCAUACCUGGAAGAAGGCCAAACGACAGAGGAGAUCGGACACAUAACUUCCCAGUGGCUUCAGUGACGGAUAGGAUUUGGCAGCCCACAUUGAUGGUACUUUUCCCAUUAGCACGCUGCUGAAAAUAUCUUCAAGUUCAGAUGACAUCAACACUUGGCCUUUAAUGGCUUUGCCUAAAUUAAUGAGGCUGCUCCGAACAACUUCAGUAAGCCUUCGGAUAAAAUAAAGAAAUUGUCAGGUCUUUAUUUACUUCUUACUACCGAACUAGAGAACUCUGCGUCUGCCUUGAAUGAAGGG